rnacentral:rRNA from 1 species
AGGGAUUGCCUCAGUAACGGCGAGUGAAGCGGCAACAGCUCAAAUUUGAAAUCUGGCCCCAGGCCCGAGUUGUAAUUUGCAGAGGAUGCUCUUGGCGAGGUGCCUUCCGAGUUCCCUGGAACGGGACGCCAUAGAGGGUGAGAGCCCCGUACGGUUGGACACCAAGUCUUUGUAAAGCUCCUUCGACGAGUCGAGUAGUUUGGGAAUGCUGCUCAAAAUGGGAGGUAUAUUUCUUCUAAAGCUAAAUAUUGGCCAGAGACCGAUAGCGCACAAGUAGAGUGAUCGAAAGAUGAAAAGCACUUUGAAAAGAGGGUUAAACAGCACGUGAAAUUGUUAAAAGGGAAGCGCUUAUGACCAGACUUGCGCCCGGUGAAUCACCCAGCUCUCGCGGCUGGGGCACUUUGCCGGCUCAGGCCAGCAUCAGCUCGCUGUCGGGGACAAAAGCUUCGGGAACGUAGCUCUCUUCGGGGAGUGUUAUAGCCCGUUGCAUAAUACCCUUCGGCGGGCUGAGGUACGCGCUCCGCAAGGAUGCUGGCGUAAUGGUCAUCAGCGACCCGUC